ACAACCAGUUCAAUCCCUUUUUAAAAAAUAUUUUGGGGAUUGGUUAUUGGUGAAUGAGGGGAUGCGUGCAUCACGUUGAAUCACCUCACCACCGAAAUUCAGAGGCGGUUUGUCCCCACGUGUUUUGUGGCGUUGUAAAGGCUUACCAGCACUAUUCGCUCGCAUCGUGGGUGCACUGCUUGCCAUUGGAGAAAUCCCCAUUCAUCAAA
rnacentral:misc_RNA from 1 species